rnacentral:rRNA from 1 species
UACGGAGGGUGCAAGCGUUAUCCGGAUUUACUGGGUUUAAAGGGUGCGCAGGCGGAUAUGUAAGUCAGUGGUGAAAUCUUCCCGCUUAACGGGAAAACUGCCAUUGAUACUAUAUAUCUUGAAUGCUGUGGAGGUAAGCAGAAUAUGUCAUGUAGCGGUGAAAUGCUUAGAGAUGACAUAGAAUACCUAUUGCGAAGGCAGCUCACUACGCAUAUAUUGACGCUGAUGCACGAAAGCGUGGGGAUCAAACAGG